UACGGGGGGGGCAAGCGUUGUUCGGAAUUACUGGGCGUAAAGGGCUCGUAGGCGGCCAACUAAGUCAGACGUGAAAUCCCUCAGCUUAACUGGGGAACUGCGUCUGAUACUGGAUGGCUUGAGUUUGGGAGAGGGAUGCGGAAUUCCAGGUGUAGCGGUGAAAUGCGUAGAUAUCUGGGGGAACACCGGUGGCGAAGGCGGCAUCCUGGACCAACGCUGACACUGAUGAGCGAAAGCCAGGGGAGCAAACGGG
rnacentral:rRNA from 1 species